CUCUCUCUCCCUCUUUCCUUGAAAAUCAAUCGCGUGAACGCGUUACACAUAUCGAAUCGUCUGUCUCUGCAUCUUUUCUGGCAGUGGGUUAUACAAAACUGUCCGUAGGCGCAGAAAAGAAGAAAUCUCUGUCACUGAAAAUCAUUGGAGCCUGAAGAAAUUGCUUGUGUGUUUUUGGGGAAAAAUUAAGCAGCGUUUCUAGUUCCGCAAGGAGUUCCCCAAUAGGGAAAGGGAGAAGGUUUGUUUUUUUUAAUUUAAAAGAGAGUGAAUUUUCUUAUUUCUCUUAAUAGUUUAAUUUCACUUCAUUACCUUUGGUCUGAAA